UAGGGAAUCUUCCGCAAUGGGCGAAAGCCUGACGGAGCAACGCCGCGUGAGUGAUGAAGGUCUUCGGAUCGUAAAACUCUGUUAUUAGGGAAGAACAAAUGUGUAAGUAACUAUGCACGUCUUGACGGUACCUAAUCAGAAAGCCACGGCUAACUACGUGCCAGCAGCCGCGGUAAUACGUAGGUGGCAAGCGUUAUCCGGAAUUAUUGGGCGUAAAGCGCGCGUAGGCGGUUUUUUAAGUCUGAUGUGAAAGCCCACGGCUCAACCGUGGAGGGUCAUUGGAAACUGGAAAACUUGAGUGCAGAAGAGGAAAGUGGAAUUCCAUGUGUAGCGGUGAAAUGCGCAGAGAUAUGGAGGAACACCAGUUGCGAAGGCGACUUUCUGGUCUGUAACUGACGCUGAUGUGCGAAAGCGUGGGGAUCAAACAGG
rnacentral:rRNA from 2 species